GGCGUGGUGGCCGAGCGGUAAGGCGUUGGUCUCGUAAACCAAACAUCACAGGUUUGAUUCCUGUCCGUGCCU